rnacentral:rRNA from 1 species
AGCGAACGCUGGCGGCAGGCCUGACACAUGCAAGUCGAACGGAUCCUUCGGGAUUAGUGGCGGACGGGUGAGUAACACGUGGGAACGUGCCUUUAGGUUCGGAAUAACUCAGGGAAACUUGUGCUAAUACCGAAUGUGCCCUUCGGGGGAAAGAUUUAUCGCCUUUAGAGCGGCCCGCGUCUGAUUAGCUAGUUGGUGAGGUAAAGGCUCACCAAGGCUACGAUCAGUAGCUGGUCUGAGAGGAUGACCAGCCACAUUGGGACUGAGACACGGCCCAAACUCCUACGGGAGGCAGCGGUGGGGAAUCUUGCGCAAUGGGCGAAAGCCUGACGCAGCCAUGCCGCGUGGAUGAUGAAGGUCUUAGGAUUGUAAAAUCCUUUCACCGGUGAAGAUAAUGACUGUAGCCGGAGAAGAAGCCCCGGCUAACUUCGUGCCAGCCGCCGCCGUAAAAC